UACGGGGGGGGCAAGCGUUGUUCGGAAUUACUGGGCGUAAAGGGCUCGUAGGUGGCCAACUAAGUCAUACGUGAAAUCCCUCGGCUUAACCGGGGAACUGCGUCUGAUACUGGAUGGCUUGAGGUUGGGAGAGGGAUGCGGAAUUCCAGGUGUAGCGGUGAAAUGCGUAGAUAUCUGGAGGAACACCGGUGGCGAAGGCGGCAUCCUGGACCAAUUCUGACACUGAGGAGCGAAAGCUAGGGGAGCGAACGGG
rnacentral:rRNA from 1 species